UACGUAGGGUGCAAGCGUUUGUCCGGAAUUAUUGGGCGUAAAGAGCUCGUAGGCGGUGUGUCGCGUCUGCUGUGAAAACUCAGGGCUCAACUCUGAGCUUGCAGUGGGUACGGGCACACUAGAGUGCUGUAGGGGAGACUGGAAUUCCUGGUGUAGCGGUGGAAUGCGCAGAUAUCAGGAGGAACACCGAUGGCGAAGGCAGCUCGCUGGGACGGUACUGACGCUGAGGCGCGAAAGCGUGGGGAGCGAACAGG
rnacentral:rRNA from 1 species